UACGUAGGGUGCGAGCGUUGUCCGGAAUUAUUGGGCGUAAAGGGCUCGUAGGCGGUUUGUCGCGUCGGGAGUGAAAUCCACUGGCUUAACUGGUGGCUUGCUUUCGAUACGGGCAGACUGGAGGUAUGCAGGGGAGAACGGAAUUCCUGGUGUAGCGGUGAAAUGCGCAGAUAUCAGGAGGAACACCGGUGGCGAAGGCAGCCCCCUGGGCCAGCACUGACGCUCAGGCACGAAAGCGUGGGGAGCAAACAGG
rnacentral:rRNA from 1 species